CGCGGGGUGGAGCAGUCUGGUAGCUCGUUGGGCUCAUAACCCAGAGGUCGGAAGUUCAAAUCUUCCCCCCGCAACCA
rnacentral:tRNA from 2 species